rnacentral:rRNA from 1 species
GCCGCACGCGCGCUACACUGAUGUAUUCAACGAGUCUAUAGCCUUGGCCGACAGGCCCGGGUAAUCUUUGAAAUUUCAUCGUGAUGGGGAUAGAUCAUUGCAAUUGUUGGUCUUCAACGAGGAAUUCCUAGUAAGCGCGUGUCAUCAACUCGUGUUGACUACGUCCCUGCCCUUUGUACACACCGCCCGUCGCUCCUACCGAUUGAAUGGUCCGGUGAAAUGUUCGGAUCGCGGCGACGCGGGCGGUUCGCUGCCCGCGACGUCGCGAGAAGUCCAUUGAACCUUAUCAUUUAGAGGAAGGAGAAGUCGUA